CCAGCGUGGAUGCCCUGGGAGCUCACUCUUCCCAGGCUCUGUGCAGGUGGGUCGGGGAGCACAGGGCUCUGCCCGAUGCUGUACAGUCCCUCCCACGUGGUUGGAGAGAGAGGCGGGCCUGGGGUCUGCGCCUGCGUGUUCCUACAGCUUCUCAGAGUCCUGUGGACAAGGACUGAGGAGAAAACCAUGCAGGAAACGUCU